GGACUACUAGGGUAUCUAAUCCCGUUUGCUCCCCUGGCUUUCGCGCAUCAGCGUCAGUAGUGGUCCAGUAUGCCGCCUUCGCCACCGGAGUUCCUAUCGAUAUCAACGCAUUUCACCGCUCCACCGAUAGUUCCGCAUACCCCUACCACACUCGAGACGCCCAGUAUCCGAGGCAGUUCCACAGUUGAGCUGUGGGAUUUCACCCCGGACUUGAGCACCCGCCUACGCGCCCUUUAAGCCCAGUGAUUCCGAACAACGUUCGCUCGGUUCGUCUUACCGCGGCUGCUGGCAC
rnacentral:rRNA from 3 species